ensembl:lncRNA
AUUUUGAAUGGGAGCAUAUUCAUAGCUUUUUACUAUACUUGUUUAUGGUAACUAUUGAGUCACGGCCUGAACCACUGAUUGAGCACCUGGGGAAAGGACCUGGUCAGCCCUGGGAGCACAGGUGAAGGCAAUUCUGUGUGAUCAGAAGGGAUGGAGCCUGGCUGCACCUCUCUUAGACCCCAUUUAAGGGCUGACCCCCCACUGGGGAAGGUUCUCUGGUUGGAAAUCCCUUCCUUGUGGAGUUUUCCCUGCAAGCCUAGAUCUUCAGAGAUGGUAUUUUCCUCAAGUCUAUGUGAUUCUGCGUAGAAAGUCAUUUGCUUGGGUACUAAGGUCAAGUUCUGCCUCAUCAAGUAAAUAAAACACACUCAGGAAAGAAUACCAAAUCUAGCUGAUGGAGAAUAGCCAAUAUAUUUGGGAGUAAGUUGAUUUAUCCUCCAGUGAAGUGGGAGUUGGCUGCGUGCUGCCCACAGGACCGGACCCCAGCUAUGCUGUGCCCAAGGACCAUACAGGGAGAGAAGGAGAUGAAGUGGGCCAAGUUCAUGCCAGGGAGCAGCUAAGCAGUUCACUGUAUAAACAGUUUUGUUCCAGUCCUGGGAAUGCUUCCAGAUAUGUUUGAAUUUACUAACUUAAAUGCAGCCUUGAAAUCCCUGCAUCUGGAAUGCCACUCCAACAUUUCCUUUGCAAGCGAAGAGAGAGGUCACAUGGACAUAACCACAUCAAUUUAAUAAAGUAGUCUGUAAAAAGCAAGCAAUUAUAAAAAGGCAAAACUGACUUAACAUGAUGGUAACUGGAACCCUUUUAUAAAAUAGGUUUACAUUUUCUACAUAACACAGUAGUUUGUUCUUGCUGGAGAGGAUUAUAGUCUCUCCAGUUGGGAAUGUUAGUAGAAAGCACAUGUUUAUCUCUGAACUGCUAACUGAAAUCAUGUUGUUAUGCUUUAUUCUAACAAGCAAGCAUUCCUAGAUGCAUGACAGGCCAUAAAAUAUCAUGAUUAAUACCAGGAAGUAAUUCAGAAUAAGAUAAGCCCUCUUAACCAAUAUACAUUCCUAGGAUUAGGCAAAUGUUUGAUCAAGGUGCAAGGCAGUCCAGAAGAAGUAGUAAGACAGAAGGGUGAAAAGGAGAAAGAGGCUGAAGGAGAGAGAGAAAGCACUCACACCUGCGAUUUGACUUAAGACUGCAUUUUUAUGGUUCCCUCCAAUUCAUUUCUAAUUUUCUAGUUACUAUUCUGUUGCUGCAAAUGUUUGCAUAUUCUGUUUCAGAUGGAAGUGUCUGCACUGGUCAUUGUGCUAUAGCUUUUUACACACACCUUCCAUUUUUUUACCGACAGGCCUGGAUGCAAAUAUUUGUAGUCUGGAGAAGCAGUUUGGCAACCUAAUUUAUAAGCGUUAAUGGAUAAUUGUUAGCAAUUAAAUGUUUGAUUACCCAACUGAGCCUAUGGAUCAGGUUGCUAGAUUUCCAUCUGCUAAUAGCUGUGUGCACAGGGGAUCAUGGGGCUGAAAGCAGGAGCAAAGACAGGGGUGUAAAGAUGCAAAUCUAACUCAGCACACACGAAGCUCAGUUUGUGAGGAAACAUGAAGCUUCACCUCUCUUUUCCUUUCGUAAUUCUGCAUUCAAAGCUGUGGUGCAAAUGUCUGCAGACUUGAAAAGCAUCCACUAUAUUAGAGAUGAAGAAUUAGAUCAGUGUCUAAUUUGAAAGCCUGGAAUCAAGGCAGUUUUAAAUGGAUUCGAAGCAGCCUUCUGUCUCUCUCCAGGCAUGGAUAUUAUGCUGGGAGUUCCUGGUCUGUCACCAAAGGUUUGGCAUUUGUCAAGGGGUGAGGCAGUCGUCCCACAAACUCAUUGCACAGCAGUGGCUUCACAGUGUACAGCAAUUUGGAGAAUUUGGCUGGCUUUGUGUUUAUUUUCCCUCUGCCUCAGCUGAGUUGCCCUCAUUGACUGCUGUUUAGCAACUGUGCAGUGUAGAGCAGAUGUGAGUAUUGCACUGGCUACUGCUGGGCGCUGCCUACUGAUAUUUGCAUUGAAAAGUCCUGGAUGCGGUGAGACCCCAUAGGAAACGGAUGGCUCCCUGCGUGAGCAGCAGCUCUCAGAACCCCAGAGCUAAAAGGGAGGACUCAUUAGAUGAUGGGAAGUUUCUUGGAGUCUGAAGGAAAGCAAGAUUCCCACCCCUGGCAGCACGGGAGCAGCACCACUGCUCCACAUCAAUAAGUAAUCUUAACAUGGGAAGCAAAGGUUAAUGACUAAUCUGUUUACCUGAGCUUCAUUAAUCAAAGAUUUACUACAAGUCAGAAUCCGAUCACCACUCAGCACAGACAGCUCUGCUUCCAGGUUAAAGAAGGCAACCACGCAGCCUGCACAAAGCAUGUAACUCAAUACUGAGCAAUUUUCCCAGUGUGCAGAUGACAAAGGGGAGCAUCAAAGAGAAAAGGCUCUAAUCAGAAGGGAUUAUAUCGGGGCUGCAUGGAGCAGAGGGAAAGCAUCAGUCUCCAGUGAUGUGAAGAAGAGUUCAGCUAUGCCUAACAGCAAUAUUAUCAACCAUCUCAGAUGAUUAUGGGGUACUUCUAUGUCGUGAAAUAUGGUUGUCUUCUCCAUUACAACUGAUAUCUCAAUAACAGCACCUGUAAAGAUUUAAAAGUUGCCAGAGGACUGCCAAAAAUACCCAGCACAGGGGUGGGGAAGCAUUGGAUGGCAGGCCCAGAAUGCCUGGGAAGCUGCCCUGCAACCCUUCCUUCAGUACCAGUACAAGGCAUGCUGUAAAAUGCAUCUACUUAAUGGGGCUAUUUAGAACUUUAUGUGUGUUGUGACAAUUAAUGUCCACAUCAUGGUUCUAAUUAUGAUCUGGAGAACCUAAAGAAAAAAUUAAAUACCAGCUUUGGCUCUUGGUGUUGAGUAUUGAAUGUGCAACUUUAACUCAAUGAUUCACUCUCAUCCACACUCCCAGAGUGACAGCCCAUUUCUUCUAAAGAAAGCAUUGGAGGUAGAAGACUUUCUGAUGAGCCCACUUCUCCCAUUCAAAGACAACUGCCUUACAAAGGCUCCAGAGACUAAGCAAACCAGAUUAGAAAAAAUUAUCUAUCUUAUGCAAGGCUGAUUCAUUGAAUUCAAGGGACAGUAAUGCCUAUGCUUGUGGUAUUGUCACAGACAUUGGUUAGAAAAAUAGUGGACAGUGCUCUGCUAAACCAGGGAGUCCAAUGCAUUUUGCUCUGUGGUAGUCUGGGAUUCCUUAUGGUGGUCUCUUGCUGUGUCUCACAAUUCCAGUGUUCUUUGCAACAAAGAAGAAAAACUGUGCUAAGCAGUGAGAGAGUACACGGAGUGCUGAGUUCAGGUGUGGUCACUGCUCCAGGCAUGGCACACAGGUAUUUCCCUCCAUUGGCAGAGAGGUGAUGCUGCUGGUGCUGCAGUCAGUUUGUCAUUGGUUAUGAAGCACUGCAGCCAUGCAAAGCUGUGAAGGGGCUGCGGGCAGUGGAGCAGAAGUCAGGAGAAUUAGAGACCAGACCUACUCCAGGAUGUAUUUGCAGACCCAUCUACAUACUGCAACAAGAGGGAUGUGUUAGGAUGUUUUCAGCCAAAGGAGUCUUGGACUCAGCUGAAACCUGCACCAACGGUCAAUUGCUAUGGUAAGAGGAAGAGCACAUAUGUACGUCCAAUAUUUUAAAAGUACGUAAAACAUCUCUUAAGGUCCUGGACUUCCUCUCCACCACGCACAGCCCACAGACCUGUGAGUGGCUGUUGUUAUCAAGUGCAGCACCUCAUUUCCUUCAGCAUUUUUCUACCACCAAAAUGGAUGCCUUCUUAUCACACAAAACGGAGCGCAAACGUUGGUUUGCAGAGGAAGACACUGACCAGGUGCUCUCACUGCUCUAUCUGUUCACCAGGCAUGGAUGUCAUUAUCAACAUGUGGCAACCCUGACAUCAUUACUUGGAAUCCCUCAAGUCCAGCAGGAGCGAUGUGGCCUGACAAGGAAGAUUCUGUUUUUAAUAAAACCCAUUUGGGCUGAUGGCAAUGUUUCUCUUUCACUGGAGAGAAUUAUCAAUUUCAUGUGAAGCUGCUUUUUGCAUGCACGGAACUGUACACACUGGGAUCUACUUGGGAAGCAGGAGAAGAUAUCUGUGGUUGCACAGACACACCUUUGUGCCAGGAAUGGUUUUUAAAGACAGUUUCCCAUUUAAUGUCAUAACACUAUGCAUUGUUUUAAUACUCUUUUUCCUUCUCUGUGUAAAUUUACAGCUCAAAGGAAGCAUGCAACCACUCUUGUUGUGAACAGAGCAAUAAAAACAGAUAAAUACAAUCAGAUGAGCAUUUGGAAUUUAUUGGAGUGCCUGAAUCUGAAUGAGUAAGACACUCAGCUGGAAGGCUUUACCUGAGGGUGGUUGGGUCUCCUGUGCAAGAGCCAGGGCUCUCCUUUUAUAUAGAGUGGCAACUGCGUAGGGAAAGGACUUAAAGCAAUCUUUGGAGAUGGGUGGCUGAGAUUUUGUUCUGUCUAUCAUUUAGUACCAGUUGGACUGAAUUGUACGGUUUAUAGCAUGCCACAAAAUAAAAUUCUUCUUUUUCUCUUCUUUGUGAUUUAAAUCAAAGUGUGUGUGUGUAUAUAUAUACACACACAUUUUCUUCAUGAGAGACAGCUGCAGUAUCUCUGGCAAUUGGAAUUAAUGAAAGAUGCUGCAAUCCUUGAAAUCAAUGUAGUUACAUUGAUUUAUAUUGGUGUAGGAACUGACCUUUGUGUUCAAAACAAAUCCAAUGAUGGUAGAAGAAAAAAGAAUCCUAAUAAAUAUACAUAAG